rnacentral:SRP_RNA from 1 species
CUGUGCUAGAUGGGGAGGUAGCGGUGCCCUGUAACCUGCAACCCGCUAUAGCAGGAUUGAAUGCCGGCUUGCGGCGGCUAUUCGUAGUGACGGCCAUGAUAAGUGGUGUUGAAGAUUGGGUCCUACGCAACGGAGACCGGUGAACCCCGCCAGGUCCGGAAGGAAGCAACGGUAAGCCGGACCCUUCGUGUGCCGUGGGGUAGCCUGAUUGGAGCUAACUAUCUUGGCACAACUGGGAAUCGCUUGUCAAGAGCCGGUGCACAG